AACUUAGUUUGGCACAAGAAUCCACGCUUUCAUUUUGGUUAUCUCUACUCUGACUGAAUUCUUCACGUUUCUUUGUAUUUUUAGAAGAUCUGGUUUUUUAUAUUACAAGGACCUGUUUUGCUUUGGUGUUACAGGGGAGAGAGCUAUGAAUGUACCGUGGGAUUUGGAAGCUUUGAGCCUUUGGAUUCAGCGGGUUAUUUCUUUCCUUGAGUGUUGUUUGUUAUGAAAUAGGGUGUCAUAGUAUAAUGUGGCAGUGCUUAUAUUUAUUUUUAUUUAGAAUUAUGAAAUCUAAUAUUAGCAUUGCAUUUCUUUCUUGGAUAAUAAAGAUAUAAGUCAAAUUUCUUCAAUGAGUUGCUCUUUACUAUUUUUUAGUUUUGGGCUUUGUUCAUAAUUGAAUUUAAUUGUAAAUCUACUUCUCUGCGGCAUGGUUUCCCAAAAUAAUGUUUUUCAUGAGUUUUGAUUUGGUUAUCUCUUGUAAAUUAUGUUCGUUUCGUUAUUUCUUUAUCGAUUCAGAGAGCAUAUAGUUCUUGAUUAGUUAUUUUCUCUUUGGUUCUGCAAGAGAGGUAAUCCAUAAACACAAUUCCUUUUGGUUCUAUCUUCCUCUUGUUUGAUUACAUUGGCUCCUGAUGUUGAGGUUGGAUUUGGUUCUUUGCUGG
rnacentral:lncRNA from 1 species